rnacentral:RNase_P_RNA from 1 species
CGAGUCCGUCGGACGGCCGCGGUCGAGAGACCGAGGAAAGUCCGGACUCCACAGGGCAGGGUGCUGGAUAACUUCCAGGCGGGGCGACCCGACGGAAAGUGCAGCAGAGAGCAGACCGCCGAUGGCCCGUGAGGGCACAGGCAAGGGUGAAACGGUGGAAUAAGAGCCCACCAGCGUCACGAGUAAUCGCGACGGCUAGGCAAACCCCACCCGGAGCAAGGCCAAGCAGGGACGACCGGUGGCCCGCCGAAAGUCCCGGGUAGGCCGCGCGAGCGCGCCGGUAACGGAACGCCCAGAUGGAUGGCCGUCCUCGACAGAAUCCGGCUUACAGACCGACUCGCAAC